GCCUGCUCAGUCUCAGAAGGCUGGCUCCAGGGGAAACUGCCCUGGGAGAGGUCAAGUGUGACAACAAUGACCACCCAAGUUCAAGCCCCUCUGCUGCGCGUCCCUGACAGGAUCCGGCUGACUAAAGGUGGACGGACUCUAGCACGUGUGUACCCCGUGAAGUGGCACUGUAGUAGCCCCUUGGCCCAGCAUGGUUCCCGUGGCCGGAAGUAGACAGGCUGCACGCCGCUGUCUGACCACGAGACUCCUUCAGAGCCUCCAGAUUGGGCCCAGCAGGAGCAGACCCUGCCUCCAUCCCUCUUUUGGGCUUUUGACUUUGGCUAUCAUCCUACCACAGGGCAUGGGGACACGAAGCCACCUCCAGGAGCAGCCAUUCUGGGAGGCAGAGGAUGCGCUGGUCUGCGGUGCUGGGUCUUUACCAUCACUUCUGCAGCCAUGAACAUGAUUACCUGUACCAUGUGACCUUCAUCACUUCCACCACUGCUGUCACCCCCAUCAUCAUCACACCACCAUCCAUACCACGAUCUUUCCCUCCGUCACCACCUCCACCACCACCUCCAUCACCACCUCCACCACCACCUCCACCACCACCUCCACCACCA